UGUGAAGAUAUACACUGAAAUUGCACAAAAUUUAAAUUCAAUAUAUGUAAUCGAACUUAAUUAGUCAUGUGCUGAUGUGCUGCAUGUAACCCCAUAAAAAUAAGGAUAUAAAAAUUGACAUGCAUCUUAUUUCUUCGGAUGUAUUUAAAAUUAUUUAAUAUAACUUCCAACUUAAAUUCACAAGAUUUUAUAAUUAUUAAAUCAAAAUUGAUCGUCCUUUCUAUAAGGAGGGUGCCGCAUGAAGGGCAUUCAGCAACGGUUUCUGUAGACAGACAACUUUCCAGUUUAUUCAUUUAUUUAUUAUUUUCAGACGACUUACAAUUAAGCGAUAACGUAGUAAAAUUACUUUUAUGUAAUAUAUUCUCUAUUGUCACUUCUUGAUUUCAGAAUCUGCUUGCUGCUAUUCUUCUAGCUGUAGUUGUGUUUGCUUUCCUUUUCUUUUGAAAAAUUUCUGCAUGCAUGUUUGAAAAUAAAUACCUACUAUGCAAUUUGUGUUUAUGAUUUUGAAUGUGUAAAUUGGUAUGUAUGGAGUGAAAGGAGACUUCUCUCGAAUUUGAUUUUCUCUCAAUGUGAGUGAUCCUAUAAAUAAUUUCUGUUGUUACGAUGUUGUUAUAAAUCGAUGCACCUAAGGUGCUUGGUGAAAAGAAAACCUUUUGUGAUGCACUAUUUUUUAUUCUUCAGCUCUCAUUAUUUCAAUGUUUGAUUUUUAGUCUCAAAAUUGUAUUAUUAAUCUUCAUAUUAUGUGAGGUAGGAACUCAUGCUCAUGUUGUAUUACCAUGUCACCUGCUUCUCCUAUUCAUGGAAGUAUCAGAAUUUUAGGAGCUAAAGUGAUACCUUUCAAACUGUCACAAGCUUUGCACAAAGGAAUAAGCUGUCGGCUCGCCUUGAAGAACAGAUGCUAGCUCACUUGUGUUUAAGGUUCAAAACAGAUUCGGAAGGUCUACAGCAGCAACAAGCUCACGCUACCAAAAGUUAUUCGAUUUGGCAUUACACAUUAUCUGAGGUUUCGAUCAGAUUUGUAACUGAGCUAAUUAAUUUGGAAUGAUUGAUAUGCAGUUUCGUUAGUAAAACUAAGGAAAAAUAUUUGCUUUGUCGAGUUGUAGAUCAGAAGAUUUGAAACUUUAAAGUUGCUUGUGUGCACUGGCUCUUGCUGAUGCUUUACAGUAUUAUCUUUGUUUAUGCUUUAUUAAUGUUUAAUUGGUUCAGUAAACAGAUCUACGAGGAUGUACACGUCAAGGCAAAAGAUCCACAAAGAUAAAGAUGCUGAACCUACUGAGUUUGAGGAGUCUGUUGCACAGUCAAAUUGAUGUGACAGGAAAGUUGUUGUUAUCCAUGUGCCCUACAGACUAAGGAAAGCUUGGAGUUGGAGAAGAAAUUCAGUAGCAAGGUACCUAUUAAAUUAUUUUUAUAAUUUUGUGUGCGAAGCUCGAUGACAUUCUUAGCUAGCAACUCUUCAAGAACUGUAGAGAUGUAAGUAUACACUACAAGAGACGACGUGUCCGGUGACUUUUUAUAAAUAAUAAUCAACCUUAUUCUUUUUGAUAUGAAAAAAAAAAUGACCUUGCCAAAAUAAUAGAACUUAUAUCAAUUUAAAGUUUAAAAUGCAGUAGCUGCGACACAUGUCAGUCAGUUGCUUCACACUUUGGUAUCUUGCUUUCUUUGCAGGAAUAUGAAAAACUAGAGAAACUUUCAUCAUUUUAUGUAUUUAUUGAUGUGCCUGAUUGGCUCAACUUGUGGGCUGAUAUAGAGCUUAAUGAUGCACUUGAUAAAUUGAAACCUGAAUUUGAAAAUGUAAGAAGUUAAUCAACAGAAGUUCGUUUGUUAUUGAUCGUUGUCGUUCACUGCUUAGCAUACAAUUGACAUCAAGAUUUUUGAAAUUGGCUGGUGCACCAAUAAUACACAGCUUUUUUCGGUUAUUUGCUUUUCAGCUGCCAAGAACAAACUUGGUGCCCUACUCUCUGCCAUUUGUUCUUAACAAUAAAACCUCCACUAAGAUCAUGUGGAGGAAUUUGUGUGUGAUCAAGGUUAGACUAGGGCUCCAGCUGAUGCGUCCUAUCACUGCCACAAUAUGAGGUUGAUUAUAUGUGAACCUCGGUUUAUUCUAUUGCCAAAUGCUCCUUCUUUGAGAUUAAUGCAGGAUCUUCAUUAUUUUAAUUUUCAUUUUGUUUUCUGGUCUUGGCGUUGUUCCUUUUUACCAAUUUGUGAAAAUUUCUCUUAAAUACCAAUCUUCUGUGAAUGCUGUAACAAGGAGUCCCUGACGAAGAAAAUCUUUUCCAUGCAUCUUAAUUAGUCGGACUAACUCUUUGAUUAGUGGGGGCAACAAAGGAGCUGCUGCACGAUUUAUGGAAGACUGGUUUGAUCAGAAAAAUACUGAACCAGCAAAGUUUAAUCCAUCUAAAGUGCGCAAACUUCCUCGAAGAGUAUCAAACUUCAUACCAACUGUUAGUGCGAAGCUGAAAACUGGACCAUCAGUGACAGAAGCAGCAUGGGGAAAGCUUAAUUUAACGGCCUAGGCCCUGACAGAAGGCGGAUUCGAGCACCUUUACAAGCAAAUUUUCCCUACGGACCCUAAUGAGCAGCUGAAGAAGACAUUUGCUUGUUAUCUUUCAACAACUACUGGUCCUGUUGCUGGAACACUCUAUUUGUCAUCUACAAAAGUUGCUUUUUGUAGUGAUCGUCCUUUAUCUUUCAAAGCUCCAUCUGGUUUGGAGGCCUGGCACAAUCAAUCAUAUACUCU